UACGUAGGGGGCGAGCGUUAUCCGGAUUCACUGGGUGUAAAGGGAGCGUAGACGGCCAUGCAAGCCAGGGGUGAAAGCCCGGGGCCCAACCCCGGGACUGCCCUUGGAACUGCAUGGCUGGAGUGCGGGAGGGGCAGGCGGAAUUCCUGGUGUAGCGGUGAAAUGCAUAGAUAUCACGAAGAACUCCGAUUGCGAAGGCAGCUUACCAGUCUGCGACUGACGCUCAGGCACGAAAGUGUGGGUAUCGAACAGG
rnacentral:rRNA from 1 species